UCAGACAUGGUGUAGUGCGAACACAGCCCUUUAAUGUUGCAACCUGAGCAUCUGGUGAGGGGCAGUCCAGGGUUCAAAUCCCUGUGUCUGAA